GACGAACGCUGGCGGCGUGCUUAACACAUGCAAGUCGAACGGAAAGGCCCUGCUUUUGUGGGGUGCUCGAGUGGCGAACGGGUGAGUAACACGUGAGUAACCUGUCCUUGACUUUGGGAUAACUUCAGGAAACUGGGGCUAAUACCGGAUAGGAGCUCCUGCUGCAUGGUGGGGGUUGGAUAGUUUCGGUGGUUGGGGAUGGACUCGCGGCUUAUCAGCUUGUUGGUGGGGUAGUGGCUUACCAAGGCUUUGACGGGUAGCCGGCCUGCGCGGGUGACCGGCCACAUUGGGACUGAGAUACGGCCCAGACUCCUACGGGAGGCAGCAGUGGGGAAGAUUGCACAAUGGGCGGAAGCCUGAUGCAGCAACGCCGCGUGCGGGAUGACGGCCUUCGGGUUGUAAACCGCUUUCGCCUGUGACGAAGCGUGAGUGACGGUAAUGGGUAAAGAAGCACCGGCUAACUACGUG
rnacentral:rRNA from 1 species